GUGUAAUUAGUUUUAUUGUAAUAUGUGUUUUAUUGUGGUGGUUUGGAAUUGAAAUUAAAAUAUUUUUGAGGUGUGUUUGGAUAAAAUUUAUGUAGAUUAUUUUAAAUAAUAUAUUAGUAAGUUAAAUUAGUAAAGUAGUGGAGAUUAAUAAUAUUUUUUGUAAUUUUUGUUAAAAAAAAAAUGAUUUAUUUUGUAUUUUGGUGUUUGGUGU
rnacentral:misc_RNA from 1 species